AGCAAGCAGGUAGUUUCUGGUUUUCUGUUGUGGUACUAGUUCAUGCUCCAUCAGGUGUUGGUUAGCUAGCAAGUGCAGCAGUUCGGUUCUGUGUUGAGCUUCUAGUUUCUGAUUGGUUAGGAGCUUGUUUAAGCUUCCGUGAAAUUGCAAAGAAAUUUCUCUGGCCAAGUUUUUUUUUUCUCAGUUGUUGAUUGCAGUGCGUGGCGUGCGACAGUAUCUGCCUGCAGUCCUGCUUUCUCUCAGUUCUUCAAGUUUGAUUUUCUGUUUUUUUUUGUGUCAUCUUUUCUUGGCCAUGAUUUUUUGUUUCUUGCGUAGUUUAGUUGUUUGGGUUCCGAUUUAAGUUUCGUCUAUUGCGUUAGCUUUCUAAAGUUGCAAAUUCUUUCUAAGUGCUCUUGUCACUAGUUGGCUUGAGUAAUUUUGUUUUGGUUCUCUCGCUUGUGUUUGGCAGUGAUUUGGGACAGUGGCCGAAAAUAUUUUGAGAAAAAUUUACGGCUCCCAUUCACCCCCCUCUGGUCGCCGUUUUCGGUCCUUCAAUAGGCCACACAAGGACACUUGUCGCGAGCACCAAGUUGGCUGAAAUCAUAGUAUCAGUGUAUCACCCGCAUUCACUUUGUUUCGGACUUUGGCAUCACUACACUAGCAGCAGGACCUGCGGUGGCUGAUCGGAGCUAGAGGAGGAGGUCGAUGUUGGGGGUUUUUUUUUGGUUGAAAUUGUAAGGCUCUUUUUAACUCAUGAUGAGUCUCAGCUAAAUUGCUGGACACCAGCACCCCAACUUCCUGGGGGACCUCAUCCCAAGUGAGAACAGAUCAUUCACUGGGACUUUUACACCCUAUGGAAGCAAGCACAUGCGCUACUUUGUUACAAACACGUGGACACACAUUAGUCAAGCUAAACAAGAAUUCAGAGGAGAGCAAAUGCUUAAUUUCAGUAACAAUUCCACCCAUUGCCGACAGCCUCUACUCCUCGCCUUUCACUGCCUCAUUCACCAGAGAUGCGUCGGCUUCUACCCUGCUUGGACGCCGACGAGCUCUGCAUGAAAAGCAUCCAGGACGACGCAGCCUUCCUUUCCUGCUGGGCGGCCUUAACUACCCCGCCGUUCUCAUCUCUGAUGAUGAACCCCACCUCCUCUUCUCCUUACUGAAAAAGAAUCCAUCAGAGUCGAACUUGAGGAGGACUCCCGCCGGUGGCUUAUUCCAUGUCUUUCUCUGAACAUUUUCCGACAACGGCUUCUCCAGUCUCGUUUUCAGAAAAGGAUCAGCCUGAAAGCCGUGAUGUAUGCUACGUCUGAAGGCGAUCUUCGUUUACCCUCCUCCGUCAUAGAAUUCCUCUCUCCACACCAUAGCCAACCCAGGGCGAAAAUUCUCUCCAGCAUUUCCUUCGGUGAACCUGCUUCAGUUAAUUUGCUCCUCACC
rnacentral:lncRNA from 1 species